UGUGUCAUGCAGCUGCUAUGGGGGGAUGGAGGAGGAGUGGCAUUGGCAAUUCAAGACUGCCUUUCCUACCCUUUUCAGUGCCUCUUUCAGUGAUACGAAGCUAAAACCAGAUACUGCUUUCAUAGUACUUUUCUGACCACGGUUUUCUGGAGUUUUUUCGUAUGGAGUUUGUAAGCUUCCUGACAUGGAUUAUAACUGUACUUGAUGGAGCACAGUUAUAAUAGCUGCUUUAGAGUCCUUGAUAAUUCCCACAUCUGAGUCAUCUCAAGAUUUUGAUGGAUGUACAUUGAUGGAUAGCCACGUGGAUCCAGAAAAUAAAGACUUCUACUCUGCAUUUGACUAAAGCAGAAGAUAUGCAAGGAAGCUCAGUCUCUCAAUUGAGUGGAUUCUGAAAUUUAUCCUGUUGUCUUCAGCUACUAAGGCUAAUUUGCAAAUCACACUGUGCACGGGGUGAAAUAGGAGCACUUAGGAAGCACUGCAAUGAAUUUACUGCUUAUUCAGCAUAUUGAUAGAGUCUUCUCUAAAACAACAAAAAGUGUUGACAGCAAACUGAAGAUCUUAAAG
rnacentral:lncRNA from 1 species